CCUACGGGCGGCAGCAGUAGGGAAUUUUGCGCAAUGGGCGAAAGCCUGACGCAGCAACGCCGCGUGAUCGAGACGCCCUUCGGGGUGUAAAGAUCUGUCAGUGGGGACGAAACUUUACGGUACCCACAGAGGAAGCACCGGCUAACUCCGUGCCAGAAGCCGCGGUAAUACGGGGGGUGCAGGCGUUGUCCGGGAUCAUGGGGGGUAAAGAUUUCGUAGGCGGCACUUAACGUCUGGUGGGAAAGGCAGAGGCUCAACUUCUGUACGGCACUGGAUACUUGCGAGCUAGAAUAAGGGAGAGGUAACGGGAAUUCCGGGUGUAGCGGUGAAAUGCGUAGAUAUCAGGAGGAACAUCAGGGGCGUAGGCGCUUUACUGGGCCGUAAUUGACGCUGAGGAACGAAAGCCAGGGGAGCAAAAGGGAGUAGAUACCCGAGUAGUC
rnacentral:rRNA from 1 species